rnacentral:rRNA from 1 species
CGAGCGCUGGCGGCGUGCUUAACACAUGCACGUCGAACGGAAAGGCCCUGCUUUUGUGGGGUGCUCGAGUGGCGAACGGGUGAGUAACACGUGAGUAACCUGCCCUUGACUUUGGGAUAACUUCAGGAAACUGGGGCUAAUACCGGAUAGGAGCUCCUGCUGCAUGGUGGGGGUUGGAAAGUUUCGGCGGUUGGGGAUGGACUCGCGGCUUAUCAGCUUGUUGGUGGGGUAGUGGCUUACCAAGGCUUUGACGGGUAGCCGGCCUGAGAGGGUGACCGGCCACAUUGGGACUGAGAUACGGCCCAGACUCCUACGGGAGGCAGCAGUGGGGAAUAUUGCACAAUGGGCGGAAGCCUGAUGCAGCAACGCCGCGUGCGGGAUGACGGCCUUCGGGUUGUAAACCGCUUUCGCCUGUGACGAAGCGUGAGUGACGGUAAUGGGUAAAGAAGCACCGGCUAACUACGUG